UACAUGGAGCGAAUAACCGGCGUCCGAGCGACGAACUUCGUCGGGCGGCGAACGCCCGACGGCCGGCGUCCAAAAAUUUGACGCCCGCCGCCGAUCUGCCUGUCCAAAUAUUUUCGUCGGGCCGCCGGAAGCGUCGAGCGCGCAGCGGCGGACGACAGCCAAUCGGGAGGCGCCAGUUCCGGUCGCUAGGCAUGCUGGUCUUUCGCGCGCGGGUCUUUCCUCUUCUGCAACCACGUUGGUGUCUGCGCUAGUGUUGAUGUCUGCGCCGAACAAAAAAUGAACUCGCAGGAAUGUGGAGAAGCGGUAGAGGUGGCGCCUAGGCCCUAUUUAAAAUCGGCCCGGCUGGAGUAUAACGAUAAACUCAUAUCAGCCGUUCAGAAGCGCCCCACAAUAUGGGACUGCAGAAGGGCCGACUACAGAGACCAACGGAAGAAAACAGCUGCGUGGCAGGACGUCGUCGCUGAAAUCGGUGGCGACCCAGACGGUAAGUUUUCCAUGUCGCAUUGAAGUGACUGUUCCUUCAUGUAAGCGAACGAUGCGCACAGUACCCUCGGUCAAUGCAUUGCCUCGGUAUACGGGCGGCGCGAACAGGUGUCAGUGUUAGGCCCGUGUCAUUUGGUUGCAUGUAAACAAAACGUUUCCCGCUUCGCGGUUUGCCUGCGGCGUUCUGUUUUUUCCUUGCGUUACUACUGCCAGCAGCAGCCAGCAGAGUCAUUGGCAAACCUUCGUCGAGUCUUACGAGUUUGAAAACGAAAUGACGGCGACCGUGUACGUCCCGUACCGGUCGCCACUACCGUGCUGUAAGUUGCCCUUUGAAACUCCGUAUUGCGUGCGUGCGCGCGCCUCUUUGUACCUGUUUAUAUGCUAUUCAGCAACGAAAACGCAUGUCUGCCAGAGUCGAGGGAUUGGCGAUGUUACCUGACCACUACCGGCGUCUCCCUUCUGGAGUAUACAGACUCCGUGCCGCCUGUGCCACGUACCAUCGGUAAACGUUUCCUUCGUCCGUGCGACUGCUUUGUAGCUCGUGAACAGGUCGCGGAAAGUAGGCUUCGAACUAAGUCGGCACCUAAAUGUAGAUGACCAAAAAGCAGUAGCUGCUUGCAUAGAAAAGUGAAGCCUUGGCAAAAAAAAAAAAAACGGUACAGGCGGAGCGUACUCGUGCAACAGGAAUGGCGACGCCACUGACGAAUUGCUGUUGCUUAAGAACUUGUAUAAGGUUAUAUGUUAAUACUGUAUUACAGCGCCUAGAUGUUGCUCUAACACUCCCUUCCGCACGUACUGUUUGCUCACUGCGACAUGCGUCUCUUGCCAGCAUAUUUGACCUUUCUGUAUUUUGAUAAUGACAUAUUUUCAUAUAUUAGGUUCCACUGCCCAAGCUCGCUGGAAGAGCUUGAGGGACACAUUCUCAAAGAAGCACCGUACCUGGAAAACUGGUGCGCCAAGUGGGUCUGGGGCAAGCGACAGCAAAGAAGUCCGCUGGCCUUAUUUUAAACUGCUAUUUUUUUUGAAGGAUUUAGUUGACAUCGGAAGCACUACAAGCAAUAUCCCGCCAGCUGAGGCAGAGAGUGCAGAAACCCUCCUGAUCAACAUGUGCUGCCAAAAAGAAUGUAAGACAUUUAUUUAUCACUUCACAAAUAUAUCAAGUUACAGUGCAUAUAAAAACAAACAUGCUCAGGGUUUCCAUGUCUUCACAUGUCACAUAGUAUUGUACACUACCGACGAAUGCAGAUCCCAGGCCACCGAGUCACCUGUGCCUGGGACUUCCAGCACAACUGACGAGGAGACGUCAGCCGAAGUAUGCCGAAGUGCUACGCCAAAGCGAACACAAGCAGUCGCAGCGAAAAGGAAAAGACACAAGCUGGAUGACGAAAUUGAAACUGUAGAUCAUCUGCUUAAAAAACAUGAAGAUGCGCCUGCUGUUUUUGGGCAGCUUGUUGCCCAUAAAUUAAGAAAGUUUUCAAAACGACAGCAGUCGGAAUUGGAAAUAGAAAUUUUACAAUUGCUGAACAGGCACGACUAUGAGUGAAAAUAAAGUGUAUCCUAUUUGUUCA